CCUACGGGAGGCAGCAGUUAGGAAUCUUCCACAAUGGGCGAAAGCCUGAUGGAGCGACGCCGCGUGAGGGAUGAAGGUUUUCGGAUCGUAAACCUCUGAAUCUGGGACGAAAGACGCGUAAGCGGGAUGACGGUACCAGAGUAAUAGCACCGGCUAACUCCGUGCCAGCAGCCGCGGUAAUACGGAGGGUGCAAGCGUUACCCGGAAUCACUGGGCGUAAAGGGCGUGUAGGCGGUCACGUAAGUCUGGUUUUAAAGACCGGGGCUCAACCCUGGGGAUGGACUGGAUACUGCGUGACUAGACCUCUGGAGAGAGACUCGGAAUUUCUGGUGUAGCGGUGGAAUGCGUAGAUACCAGAAGGAACACCGAUGGCGAAGGCAGAGUCUUGGACAGAAGGUGACGCUGAGGCGCGAAAGUGUGGGGAGCGAACCGGGAUUAGAUACCCGGGGUAGUCCACACCCUAAACGAUGUACGUUGGAUGACAGCAGGAUGCUGUUGUUGUCGAAGUUAACGCGAUAAACGUACCGCCUGGGAAGUACGGCCGCAAGGUUGAAACUUAAANGAAUUGAACGGU
rnacentral:rRNA from 1 species